AGUGAACGCUGGCGGUAGGCCUAACACAUGCAAGUCGAACGGCAGCACAGUAAGAGCUUGCUCUUGCGGGUGGCGAGUGGCGGACGGGUGAGGAAUACAUCGGAAUCUACUUUUUCGUGGGGGAUAACGUAGGGAAACUUACGCUAAUACCGCAUACGACCUACGGGUGAAAGCAGGGGAUCUUCGGACCUUGCGCGAUUGAAUGAGCCGAUGUCGGAUUAGCUAGUUGGCGGGGUAAAGGCCCACCAAGGCGACGAUCCGUAGCUGGUCUGAGAGGAUGAUCAGCCACACUGGAACUGAGACACGGUCCAGACUCCUACGGGAGGCAGCAGUGGGGAAUAUUGGACAAUGGGCGCAAGCCUGAUUCAGCCAUACCGCGUGGGUGAAGAAGGCCUUCGGGUUGUAAAGCCCUUUUGUUGGGAAAGAAAAGCAGCAGGUUAAUACCCCGCUGUUCUGACGGUACCCAAAGAAUAAGCACCGGCUAACUUCGUG
rnacentral:rRNA from 1 species